GACGAACCGUGCGAACGUUGUUCGGAAUCACUGGGCUUAAAGGGCGCGUAGGCGGACAGGUAAGUCAGGGGUGAAAGCCCACGGCUCAACCGUGGAAGGGCCUUUGAUACUGCCUGUCUUGAGGGAGGUAGGGGCGUGCGGAACUUCCGGUGGAGCGGUGAAAUGCGUAGAUAUCGGAAGGAACACCGGUGGCGAAAGCGGCGCGCUGGACCUCUACUGACGCUGAGGCGCGAAAGCCAGGGGAGCAAACGGG
rnacentral:rRNA from 1 species